rnacentral:lncRNA from 1 species
CAAAAAGGUCCUUUCAACCUGCAGGCAACUCCAAGUCCAAAAUGAAACGAGCCCUCUGAGGACACACAGCCUCUCGAUGGGUGUUGUUCUGCUGGCUGCUACAGCAAAGGGCUCGUUUACAUUGUUUGUGUGCCUGUGCUGUGAUCAUCUUCUGUCCAUGCUACAAACAAAAGCUCGACUAGAACAACACUACCAGCUGGGUUCAUCUUGUAGCAAAGGCAGUCCACAGGCUGGCAGUUGGUGCUGAUUUUUUUUCCAAGAGAUGCUGCUCACAGGGCUGGUUGGCAGCCAGCAGUGAACUACUGCACAUCAGGGCAGUUUUGCUCAGUCUUCUCCAGAAAAGUGAAGGAAGGGGAUUUUUACGUGAAGACAGCUGCCCAACAUGCAAAUAAGAUCUAAUUUAAGACCUUAUUAACCUUGAAACUAAGACCUGUGCCACGGUGGACUGUGAUAAGCAUCAUCUUGAGAGCUGAAAGGCGUGCAGCCAAAGGUUCCUCCAUUUACCUCAUCCAUGAGUAUGUGAGACCAACCUCGUGUCCAGAGAUGCACCAACGAAGUGCUGGCAGGUCAGAGCAGAGUUUUUGGGCUGCACAGAAGGAGAUGGAGCUGUGGCUGAAGGCAGAAACUGGUCCCCCUUCUUCAACCCUUGCAGAUUCCAGCUCCCUGGUCUACCACGCACGGUGUCUGGGGGAGGGGGGUGACAAGGGACACGCAGCCAAGAAAGUGUCAACUGCAUAACUCUGCCCCAGCAGAGCCCCGCAAACUUUCCCAGCCAAAGUAGCUGAAUAGGAAAUGUGAUGGAGCUGGAAACAUCUCCUUGUCAGCUGGGUUCUCCACCCAGCAACUCAUAAAAACCCCGAUGUGAAAACAGCCAGGGCCGUUAUAGCUUAUUCCUAUCUGAGAAAUGUCGUUCAGAUCCCUGAUUGUUUAUUUAACUCUGCACAACAGUUGUGAAACAUCAUGUUGCUCUGUCCUGAGAUAAUUCCACAGAGUGGUUUUUUGGCUAAGGAAAUUCCCAGGUCAGACUGCCAGAUUUUGCUGCUUUGCAGAGCUCUGCCAUACGAGUGAUUGUUUUGAAAAAGAAAGCCCUCAGCCCCAGGGCUUUGGAAACCAGUGGAAAAACAAACGCACAUACAGGUUUGGCUCUAUUUUUAUUUUUAUUUUAGGUACAUUUGUGGUAAAGCACUCACAUUGAGCUUAACCAUGCAGAAACAAGCAGGAAAACCCAGCCCCCAGAUACAGUGAUUUUUUAACAAUCAUUCUUGUUAAGGUAAUUUGGGGACUUUUGAAUCUUUGGACUGGGCUAUUCUUUUACCCUUAUUACACCUGUAUGACUGGAUUUCCUACUGAAAUCAGAAAUCUGGAGCCAAGGAGGAUGACACAGUUGAGAACAGGGUUCGGGCUUAUGUUCCCCAGAUAGGACUUUGUGAACUAGCACUUCAAAAUUUGCUCACUUUUCAAAGUUGAAACCAUGCAGAAAGGAGCUGGCUUGAAUAAAAUAAAUUCUCCACAUGUUCA